CUGGUGUCCCCCGCCGUGAUGUUGCUGGAAUAUUGCUAAAAGCGGCGUAAAACCAAACUCAGUCAGUCAGUCAGUCAAGACAGAAGUGUUGUGUCAGAUGAAUGUCAGGUCAUUUCUUCAAUACAGAAGUGUUGUGUCAGAUGAUUGUGUGAUCUGAAUGUCAGUUCAUGACUUAAAGACAAGUGUUGUGUCAGAUGAUUGUGAGAGAUUAAUGUCAGGUCAAUACUUUCUGUGUAGGUCACAGCCUUGUGCCCUGUGAUAUCCUAUGCUUGACAUAACUUACUAUUUUCGACAUUUCGCCAACUGCAGUGUGCAUGGAGCUACAUGGCAGGUCCCUUCUGUGGGUCAUUUCACCUAUUGCUUACCCAGCCAUGUUGAAAACUGUUCCUGCAGCACAGCAGUCAUGGUGAAAAUCACCAAUAAGUGAAUAUAUGAAUGUUUCGUAUGGACACAGUUACAGGUUAAUAAUAUUUUAUAUCUAGAUUUUGAUACUAAUUUACACUCUGUACUUUUUGUUUAGGUUUUGUUUGAUAUGGGAGUGCAAAUAUCUACAGGUCAGUUUAAGCUGAAGAACCAGUAUUUUCAGCUUUUAUUUAGUUAUCAAGUAUGAAGUUAUGAAGGGUCUUGUAAUGUUCGAUGAUGCCAGAUGUGGAACCAGAACCAGUCACUGAAAAGUCAUACACACUCACUGAUGUUGGGAUGGGGUGUCUCUAUCAGGACACAGGAGGUGCUCUCUACUGACCACCCACCCUCACAGAUGUGGGUAAGGUGUCUGUAUCUGAACAUAGGAGGUGCUCUCUACUGACCACCCACUCUCACAGAUGGGGGUAAGGUGUCUGUAUCUGGACACAGAAGGUGCGCUCUACUGACCACCCACUCUCACAGAUGGGGGUAAGGUGUCUGUAUCUGGACACAGAAGGUGCGCUCUACUGACCACCCACCCUCACAGAUGGGGGUUAGGUGUCUGUAUCUGAACACAGGAGGUGCUCUCUACUGACCACCCACUCUCACAGAUGUGGGUUAGGUGUCUGUAUCUGGACACAGAAGGUGCGCUCUACUGACCACCCACUCUCACAGAUGGGGGUAAGGUGUCUGUAUCUGAACACAGGAGGUGCUCUCUACUGACCACCCACUCUCACAGAUGUGGGUUAGGUGUCUGUAUCUGGACACAGAAGGUGCGCUCUACUGACCACCCACCCUCACAGAUGUGGGUUAGGUGUCUACAGGUAUCUGGACACAGAAGGUGCACUCUACUGACCACCCACUCUCACAGAUGUGGGUUAGGUGUCUGUAUCUGGACACAGCAGGUGCGCUCUACUGACCACCCACUCUCACAGAUGGGGGUAGGGUGUCUGUAUCUGGACACAGGAGCUGCUCUCUACUGACCACCCACUCUCACAGAUGGGGGUAAGGUGUCUGUAUGUGGACACAGAAGGUGCUCUCUACUGACCACCCACUCUCACAGAUGUGGGUUAGGUGUCUGUAUCUGGACACAGGAGGUGCUCUCUGCAGUUGAUGUAGGCCAGAUUUUAUCACAAUGUUGUAAGCAAUAGGUAACACCUGUGAUGUCAACAGUAGGUAAAUGUUUUGGUUUCAAUACCAUGUAACAGUGUACUAACUUAUGUUGUCAACAGUAUCUCCUGUCGUGUGUCAUCCUAUUCCAUGAUUGUGAGAUAGGUAUCUGUGUGUCAACAGGUCCGGUUGGCAACAACAGGCAAGUGCAUGCUGUUGAUGUAUUCUCAUUGCAGUUGUCUGCUGGCUGUAUCGUGUAACAGCGGGAACCAGCUAGCUUGUAAUUCUGUUAAGCAUUGCUUGGGUAACCUUGUUUUAUGUUGCAGAUUAUUGUUUUGUAUUUUUAAGGACAUCUAAAUGUUCUCAUGUGUCAUGAAUCUAUGUAAUUCAAUAAGUUAUAUAUGUUGUGGAUUAUGCAAUAUCUCAAAUUAUUGUACUAAACUCUUUCUUGCGUCAGACACUCCCAACAGAGUCAACACUAUCAUGCCAGGUACAUGCAACAAUGUGGGGUACUGGCUACAGUGUCAGGUACUAUACUGGGUACUGGCUACUGUGACCAGUACUGUACCAAGUACUGGCUACUGUGACCAGUACUGUACCAAGUACUGGCUACUGUGACCAGUACUGUACCAAGAACUGGCUACUGUGACCAGUACUGUACCAAGUACUGGCUACUGUGACCAGUACUAUACCAAGUACUGGCCACUGUGACCAGUGCUAUACCAAGUACUGGCUACUGUGACCAUCACUAUACCAGGUACUGGCUACUGUGACCAGCACUAUACCAGGUACUGGCUACUGUGACCAGCACUAUACCAGGUACUGGCUACUGUGACCAGCACUAUACCAGGUACUGGCUACUGUGACCAGUACUGUACCAAGUACUGGCUACUGUGACCAGUACUGUACCAAGUACUGGCUACUGUGACCAGCACUAUACCAUGUACUGGCUACUGUGACCAGCACUAUACCAUGUACUGGCUACUGUGACCAGCACUAUACCAAGUACUGGCUACUGUGACCAGUACUGUACCAAGUACUGGCUACUGUGACCAGUACUGUACCAAGUACUGGCUACUGUGACCAGCACUAUACCAGGUACUGGCUACUGUGAUCAGCACUAUACCAGGCACUGGCUACUGUGACCAGUACUAUACCAGGCACUGGCUACUGUGACCAGCACUAUACCAGGCACUGGCUACUGUGACCAGCACUAUACCAGGUACUGGCUACUGUGACCAGCACUAUACCAGGUACUGGCUACUGUGACCAGCACUAUACCAGGUACUGGCUACUGUGACCAGUACUAUACCAGGUACUGGCUACUGUGACCAGCACUAUACCAGGUACUGGCUACUGUGACCAGUACUAUACCAGGUACUUGUCAUCAUCUUGAUGCAGUUCACCAUAUAUGCAGCAUUACUAGAGGCGUGUUGAGAUCCCUGUGUGCAACCACGUGUAUGUUAGUCACCUGUGUGUGUGGAUAUUCUGAAAAUAAACACUUUCACUCAA